UGCAAGUCGAGCGAAGAGAUGGGAGCUUGCUCCCUGAUCUUAGCGGCGGACGGGUGAGUAACACGUGGGCAACCUGCCCUGCAGACUGGGAUAACUCCGGGAAACCGGAGCUAAUACCGGGUAAUACAUCGCACCGCAUGGUGCAAUGUUGAAAGUUGGCUUUCGAGCUAACACUGCAGGAUGGGCCCGCGGCGCAUUAGCUAGUUGGUAAGGUAAUGGCUUACCAAGGCGACGAUGCGUAGCCGACCUGAGAGGGUGAUCGGCCACACUGGGACUGAGACACGGCCCAGACUCCUACGGGAGGCAGCAGUAGGGAAUCUUCCGCAAUGGACGAAAGUCUGACGGAGCAACGCCGCGUGAGUGACGAAGGCCUUCGGGUCGUAAAGCUCUGUUGUUAGGGAAGAACAAGUACCGUUCGAAUAGGGCGGUACCUUGACGGUACCUAACCAGAAAGCCACGGCUAACUACGUGCCAGCAGCCGCGGUAAUACGUAGGUGGCAAGCGUUGUCCGGAAUUAUUGGGCGUAAAGCGCGCGCAGGCGGUCUUUUAAGUCUGAUGUGAAAGCCCACGGCUCAACCGUGGAGGGUCAUUGGAAACUGGAGGACUUGAGUGCAGAAGAGGAGAGUGGAAUUCCACGUGUAGCGGUGAAAUGCGUAGAUAUGUGGAGGAACACCAGUGGCGAAGGCGGCUCUCUGGUCUGUAACUGACGCUGAGGCGCGAAAGCGUGGGGAGCAAACAGGAUUAGAUACCCUGGUAGUCCACGCCGUAAACGAUGAGUGCUAGGUGUUGGGGGGUUCCACCCUCAGUGCUGAAGUUAACACAUUAAGCACUCCGCCUGGGGAGUACGACCGCAAGGUUGAAACUCAAAGGAAUUGACGGGGGCCCGCACAAGCAGUGGAGCAUGUGGUUUAAUUCGAAGCAACGCGAAGAACCUUACCAGGUCUUGACAUCCUCUGACAAUCCUGGAGACAGGACGUUCCCCUUCGGGGGACAGAGUGACAGGUGGUGCAUGGUUGUCGUCAGCUC
rnacentral:rRNA from 1 species